rnacentral:rRNA from 1 species
AGGAUCAACGCUGGCGGCGUGCCUAAUGCAUGCAAGUCGAACGGGGUGCUUUCGGGUACUUACGUGGCGGACGGGUGAGGAACACGUGGGCAAUCUGUCCUGAGGUGGGGGGUAGCCUUCGGAAACGGAGGGUAAUUCCGCAUGUGCACAUCUGGUAGUGGGCUGGAUGUGGAAAGGCUCGUAAGAGUCGCCUGAGGGGGAGCCUGCGGCCGAUUAGCUAGUUGGUGGGGUAGCGGCCUACCAAGGCGAUGAUCGGUAGCUGGUCUGAGAGGACGGCCAGCCACAUGGGGACUGAGACACGGCCCCAACUCCUACGGGAGGCAGCAGCAAGAAUUUCCGCAAGUGGGGAAACCUGACGGAGCAACGCCGCGUGCGGGAUGACGCUUUCGGAG